rnacentral:snRNA from 1 species
GGAUGUGAGGGUGAUCUGGCUGCGACAUCUGUCAACCCACUGACUGCCCGGGUUGAUUUGGCUGAUCUGGCUGGCAAGGCUGGAGUCCCCUUCUUCCCUAAAUGCUCCAUAUGUGUCCCUCCUGAAGCUGCAUGCUUGGUUGAAGAGGACAACCACCCCUGAUUGAGGAGGACUGUUCCUUGGUCAAGGCUACAUGGGUAGCUGUGCUCCCCUGCUAGAACCUCCAAACAAGUUCUCGGGGUAGGGCCAGGGCUGCUGAGCCCCA